AGACCUGUCGCACAUACAUUUGAUUUAAAAUUCAAUUAUUUGCCUUCAUCAGUUACUAUCGCAGCAACCCAGCCCCUACUGACCCAAACCUUUACCCCUCUCAAACACCCCAAACUUUCCCCUUUUCCCCUCUCUAACCCCUCCCCUUAUACCUCAGUCACUUUUGCUCUAUGGUGGCUGUACGGCGAGUCGAAAACAGCUGUAUUAACAUGUUUUGUACCAGCUAUUGUACAUGUAGGUGGGUUGAAUAAAAAUGACUCGCCAUACAGAGAAAAUGUGACUGAGGUAUUAACAACCCCAUUCCUGGCUAGAUGUCUGCUCUAUCUGUCUUUCUUCACCUGUGAAAAGUUCAUUCACCUCUAGCUUGCCAUUAGUCUCUCCUCCAGCCCUAGUCCUAUCUCUAUUCUCUGGCCAUCACUCUACUAGGCUUGUUGUUGCAACUCAUUAGUCUCUCCUCCAGCCCUAGUCCUAUCUCUAUUUCAUGGCUAUCUAUCACUCUACUAGGCUUGUUGUUGCAACUCAUUAGUCUGCCAUCCAGCCCUAGUUGUUUCUCUAUUCCGUGGCUGCCACUCUACUAGCCUUGUUGUUGCAACUCAUGUUUUUAUUGUGGUGUUCCAUCCCUUCUCAAACCUUCCUGACUGUGUGCCCUGCAUGAAGACUGUAUCAACGACGGAAGAACACAUACAGGGGACAUAGGAAUCUAUGGCGAGUUUGAGCUUCGCAGGCCGUCUGUGGAUGAUACAGAGAGUAAUGUAUCGGGGACUAGCUCCAGAGCCGACAAACAACAACCCAUCUCAACAGUGUGACACGCAGACAGACAGACAGACACAUCCAGAGUAUGAGUAAGGUGAGGAUCUGCACAAUGCCUUGCAGAGUUCCGUGGAUCAGAGCACAAUCAGCACCAUGUAUUAGACUAGAAUGUAACCUGAGAGCGAGAUAAGGUAUCAAGCAAUACUGACAUGAUAAUGAAUGGAUGGGACUGCAGUAGGGAAACCACGGAAUUGUUUGUAAAUAGGAAGACAUGACAAGUACUUUAGCCAUUUCAACUCAACAAUAGUAGUUACAUGUAUCAUGUUUGUUAGAACUUUUUUUUUCUUUUUGCCAAAUAUCUGUAAGUCGACUUUCAACAGCUUUUUAUAGACCAGUAAUGGAUAUUCUCACCAGUAUAGUAAUUUUGAGUUAUGUUUGGCAAUGAUGUUUUGUUGCUCUUUGAAAAGUACACACAUACCAAUAAAAAUGAUAAUGGUUGUCUAGAAUGCCUGUGUGGAGAAUAAACCUACUUUUGUAACAAAAUAUCAAUUGAAAUCAUGAACUAAAUCAUAAUAAAAAAAAAUCCAUGAAUAGCAUGCCUUCCUUAAAUGUAUUUAAGGAAGGUAAUGUGAAUUUGGGAUAGUUCACUUACAGUGAUUACAAACAAUAUUUCAUUUUUUAUUUGAAAUGCCAUGAGUUUGUUGACAGGAUAAGGAAUUGAAAGUCAUGCACGUCAUUAGUGUCUGUUGGCAAGACAUUGAAGUGUGAUUGUUGUUCGCCGAGGUGUUACAGUACUUCUGCUUCGCAGUUUAUUACGAAUCUUUCGGUUUACGAUGCAACUGCUUCUGUACAACACACUCUUUAAUAGCGUGCUGGUGUUGCUCUGCGUAUGUCCGAGGCCCGAGACAACUUCUUCCUCGAUUCUUCCUGUAUAUCCCCUGAUUUCUCACGAUGGUUCUGGGACAAUUUCUUGUUCUGUCUUAUCUUAAUAACUGUAAUAUGUACCCCUUUUACAAAUUCUUGGCCUCUGAUUGGCCAACUUAAGAGGUAUAACAUUCACUAUUGACUGUGAGGUCACAUGAUGGGGAAAAUUAGCUUUUGAUAUGUACACCUUUUGCAAAUGUGAGGCCCCUGAUUGGUCAAAUUAGCAGGCAUAACAUUCACUAUUGACGGCUAGGUAAUAGUUGGAUGCUACUCCUGUCAUUGAUGUAAGAGAUUUGCUUUCCUUUGUAACUCCCAAACCAAUACAACCCAAACUGCCUCCUAGAUUCCCAAAAUGGAAUGCUUUUGGGUGACCACCUGUUCUCAAGUUGCUUGAAGAUAUGCCACAAACAAUAUUCAAGAUCAUUUAGGAAAUCAAUAUUUUGCAUCACUGCCUGCCAGCUGCAAAAAAAGUAGCCCCCUGCAGCACAAAAAAAGUACCCCUUUCAAUGAAAUAAAUGGCCCCCUAAAUUAAGCAGUUGCCCCAUGUGGAAAAAACAGCCCCUACCCCCCCAAAAAAAAUGACAACAACAACCUACUUUGCACCAUUAGGUAUUAUAUUAUUACACAAAAUUAACGCCUUGGCUCUCAGUAGGACAGCAUAUAGAUGAAAAUUAUCACCCAUUUUGGGGAAGAAACCCAACCAUAUACCCAAGCAGUGAGUUCUGUUGACUGGAGAUCACGCUGGUAUUCCAUCUCGUAUCUGAGGGGUUGUCGUGCAUGAACAGGAAGUGAAACCUAAUGAACAGAUGCAUUAUGGGUCCUGCUGUUGAUCUAGGUCACAUGUUUUGCUGUGUGUGCGUGUGUGUGUAUUCUGUUGAAGGCUAUAUAGCUUGAUAUUGAUACAAUACCGGUAUGUCUUAGCUGUUAAAUAAAUAGAAUAGGCAGGAAGUGGAUGCAUUAUGUUUUCGGACCCGACAUUCUGAAACUAACUGAAGGACUG